UUUGCGAUAAGCUCCUUUAAUUUGGACUUGUCGUAACUAGAAAUCAGGAGGAGUUGACACUCAGAACGGGGAGCUGGGCUCUACUCUGAUCCUAGGCUGGGGUGGGGGUGGGGCUGCCGCCUGCGCCCCACCCUCCUGGGCAGACUCGGGGGUGAGAUCUGGAAGAUUGCUUUCUUAAGGAAGGGGGCUUGGAAAACAUUGAACCUUUAGCUCCUUAAUGACCAGGUCCUGUACUGUUCUGGCCUUAGAGAUAGGAAGUCUGCAUAGGUGACCGACAUGAGAGGGUUUUGCCCCCUCUCUGCAAUCCGCACACUCGCUCCUGAAGGCUCACUGACUGUGUUUGAGAGUGUGUUUAGGGCCACGUGAAGAGCGAGGCCUCAGUUUCAGGCAGUCUUUCCGCGGAGCUCCCAGCAGAGUGAGCUUCAACUCACAGCUCCAGCGGCAUGGAGAGGAGGCCUGGCACUGGGCUCUCCAGCUUGAGAUGUGCUUGUAUGAGUCUCAUGAAAUGAGGGACGUUGCCUGCCCGAGUCUCUGGGACCAGCGCCUGGCAUGAGAGACCCCAUGCAAGUGUGAGGCCUGAUCCACAUCACUUUGUGCGAAAUGAGAGGAUUAACAAAUGAAUGAGCAGAUUGCUUUUACUCAUGGGGUAACAUCGACUGCUGCCUACCUCCAUUCACCCAGCUCCUACAUGACUUCUCACCAGGACCCUGACAUCCAGCCUUCGUGGCCUUGCCUUCAGCCAGUGAUGAAAGCUCUCAAUGUCCAGGAUGUAGAAAAUAGGGUCGCGCCUUCCAGUAAACAGGCCAGGCUGAAGGGAGGGGAUGCUGUGGGGAGCAGUGGUUCACAGCGAUGGUUAUCGCUGAGUACAAGCUUUCCUUUUCCUUCCUACGUGAAAAUAGGGCUCGUCCUAGGGGUUCCCUCCCCUCAAGACUGUCACUGUUUAGAGGGUCUCAUCCCCUACCAAGAUUUGAGGAAUUGAUCCAUCUGGCAGGCCUUGAGCACAGGGUGGUUUCUGAGACUCUGUGCAGACUUGCCACUCUCCCUCACUGAUGUGUGACAGGCACAGUCAUUCAUUCAUUACUCAACAAGUACUUACUGAGUACCUACUAUGUGUCAGGUACUCUUGUAAGAACUGGGGAUACAGCAGAGAAUAAAGCAGGCAAAAACUCCUGCCCUAAGGGAGCUUACAUUCUAGUCCAAGAUAUUUCUAGCUGGGACUUCUUUGGAUUGUAUGACAGACAUCAGGAAUUUUUCCUUCUUGGGCACUGGAAUUUUUUCAACCUUAUGAAUAUUAUCAAGUUUUACCUAAGGACACAGUUAGGGUGCUUUUUAUUUCAGGUGGGAGAGUAAAUCUGGUGCCUCUUACUCCAUUUUGGCCAGAAUCAGUUUUUCUUUACAAGAAAACCUGUAGGCCUGGGAGGAGCAAGGCUUAACAAGUUUCUUUGUUAUUUAUACCUUCAUGUGAAUGAGUUUAUGGGCUCCUUUCUGAAGCAUUAUGGUUACGGGAAGUGAAGAACUGAAAGACUGAAGUAGAAUAGGACUUGGAAGAUAAAUCCAGAAGUGCUCAUAGAGUCAUUAUUUCAUUUGAAUUCAUCACAUCUUACAAAUCUGCCAGCAGGUCAGGAGCUUCUGUUUUCACUUUACAAUGAGGAAGGUGGAGCUGGGAAAGCUGAAAUGACUAGCUCAGUCACACAGCUAGUUAAGACUCAGAGCUACUGACUUCUGCCCUCAAGCUUCUCUGAACACCCUGUGGGUCAGGGGUCACCGUGUGUUGUGGGGGAGAGGGCAGAGGACAUCUAUGAUCCCUUACGCUUGUGCUGUUUGGUUGUUUCUCACAACUUCAGCCUCAGCUUCCCUGGGGCUCAAGUCAGCACAGCUCAUGUUCCCUGAGCAGUAGCUACAGCUUAGAAAGAACAGUGGAACAGAGUGUCAAUUCCAUGAGGGAGGGGCCGCAUGUAUUUGGCUUACCCCUGAGGUCCCUGUGCCUGGAACAGCACCUGACCCCUAGUACGAUUUCAACAACUAUUUGUCCAAUAACAGAACGUGGAGGAAUGGAUCUGUGGAGUAGACAGACAGUAAUAUCUCAACUGCAUUACCAGUAACAAUGAAGACUAAUUUCUGCCUUUUGAUGCUGUUUUGAUUUUGUUGAUGCAUUGUACGCUUCCUGAGGGCAGGGGUUUUUUCCUAUUUCACUUAUGCACUAUGAUGUCCCCAGCAUCUAUUAAAACAGUGCCUGUCUCAGAGUAGGGACUUAAGAAGUAUUUGCUGGGUGAACAGAUGGGAGUCAAACAUCUAGUUUUCUGUGAAUGUGUAGCAUCAGGGUGAAAAGCAAGGGAUUUGAAGCCAGAGCUGAGUUGGACUUCUGGCUCUGCCACAUCUAUAACCUGGAGGAUGUCACUGAGCCUCAGUUUCCCCAGUACUUAUACUAAAGGGUGUCAUUGCUUCUGCAUCCAGACGUCCUGAGGAUUAAGUGAGGUUGUGCAAACAAAGUUCUUGGAAUAGCUCCAGGAACAAAGAAAAGGCUCCAAAGUUUUAAAAGUUCUU